rnacentral:rRNA from 1 species
CAAUAAGUAUCCCGCCUGUGGAGCAUGCACGCAAGUGUGAAACAUAAAGGAAUUGACGGGGGCCCGCACAAGCGGUGGAGUAUGUGGUUUAAUUCGACGCAACGCGAAGAACCUUACCAGGCCUUGACAUCCCUUGCAAAGUCAUAGAGAUAUGAUAGAGGUUAUCAAGGAGACAGGUGGUGCAUGGUUGUCGUCAGCUCGUGUCGUGAGAUGUUGGGUUAAGUCCCGCAACGAGCGCAACCCUUGUUUCUAGUUACCAUCAUUAAGUUGGGGACUCUAGAGAGACUGCCGGUGAUAAACCGGAGGAAGGUGGGGAUGACGUCAAAUCAUCAUGCCCCUUAUGGCCUGGGCUACACACGUACUACAAUGGCUGUUACAACAAGCAGCGACAUAGUGAUAUGAAGCAAAUCUUUGAAAAACAGUCUCAGUUCGGAUUGAAGUCUGCAACUCGACUUCAUGAAGUUGGAAUCGCUAGUAAUCGCGGAUCAGCAUGCCGCGGUGAAUACGUUCUCGGGCCUUGUACACACCGCCCGUCAAACCAUGAGAGUUGGUAAUACCCGAAGCCGGUGGCCUAACGAGCGAUCGAGGGAGCUGUCGAAGGUAGGACCGAUGAUUGGGGUUAAGUCGUAACAAGGUAACC